GAUCGGCCCGCGUCUGAUUAGCUAGUUGGUGAGGUAAUGGCUCACCAAGGCGACGAUCAGUAGCUGGUCUGAGAGGAUGAUCAGCCACAUUGGGACUGAGACACGGCCCAAACUCCUACGGGAGGCAGCAGUGGGGAAUAUUGGACAAUGGGCGCAAGCCUGAUCCAGCCAUGCCGCGUGAGUGAUGAAGGCCCUAGGGUUGUAAAGCUCUUUUGUGCGGGAAGAUAAUGACGGUACCGCAAGAAUAAGCCCCGGCUAACUUCGUGCCAGCAGCCGCGGUAAUACGAAGGGGGCUAGCGUUGCUCGGAAUCACUGGGCGUAAAGGGUGCGUAGGCGGGUCUUUAAGUCAGGGGUGAAAUCCUGGAGCUCAACUCCAGAACUGCCUUUGAUACUGAAGAUCUUGAGUUCGGGAGAGGUGAGUGGAACUGCGAGUGUAGAGGUGAAAUUCGUAGAUAUUCGCAAG
rnacentral:rRNA from 1 species